CAUUAUUCUGUUUUGGAAAACCUGGGUUGAUUUUCAGCAUAUUUUCUUGGUGUCAUAUGAGGAAUCUGAGUGUCAGUUUCAAUUCGCAUGAAAUAUCUGGGUUUACAUGGUAACAAGGAGACUUUCUACUCUCAGAGACAUUGUAACUGGAGGGCUUACAAAUAGUGCCGGAGAAAUGAACCAAUGGAUAAAGGACUUGCUGACAUUUACUGACAGCCAAUAGUUCAGAAGAAAAAAAAAAGGCCUUCUAAGACCGUCCCUCUUCUAUGAUUGACUGUUGAAAGGG